CGAGGUGACCAGACGAUCGCGGGCCCUUCGGGGCAUGAGGAAAGUCCGAGCAUCACAGGGCAGGGUGCCGGCUAACGGCCGGUGGAGGCGACUCCAAGGAGAGUGCAACAGAGAGAUACUGCCUAAGCAGCUUUUGCUGCCGGCGAUGGUGGAAAGGCGAGGUAAGAGCUCACCCACGGCUUGGCGACUUGUCCGUGAUGUAAACCCCACCUGAUGCAAGAUGGUAUGGAGGCACAUGCGGCGGCCCGUCGCGCCUUCGCAAUCGCUUGAGCCUGCGCGGUAACGUCAGGCCUGGAUAGAUGAUCGUCCAAUACAGAACUCGGCUUAUGGGCACGCUCGCACG
rnacentral:RNase_P_RNA from 1 species